rnacentral:tRNA from 1 species
GGGGCGUUGGGCUAGCGGCUUAGGCCACCUCCCUGUCACGGAGGAUACUUCAUGGGUUCGAAUCCCAUACGCCCCGCCA